UAGGGAAUCUUCGGCAAUGGGGGGAACCCUGACCGAGCAACGCCGCGUGAGUGAAGAAGGUUUUCGGAUCGUAAAGCUCUGUUGUUAAGGAAGAACGUGUGUGAGAAUGGAAAGUUCAUGCUGUGACGGUACUUAACCAGAAAGGGACGGCUAACUACGUGCCAGCAGCCGCGGUAAUACGUAGGUCCCGAGCGUUGUCCGGAUUUAUUGGGCGUAAAGCGAGCGCAGGCGGUUAGAAAAGUCUGAAGUGAAAGGCAGUGGCUCAACCAUUGUAGGCUUUGGAAACUGUUUAACUUGAGUGCAGAAGGGGAGAGUGGAAUUCCAUGUGUAGCGGUGAAAUGCGUAGAUAUAUGGAGGAACACCGGUGGCGAAAGCGGCUCUCUGGUCUGUAACUGACGCUGAGGCUCGAAAGCGUGGGGAGCGAACAGG
rnacentral:rRNA from 1 species